ACCUGAAGACGAUUUUCAGCGUGCUUAACUUCUUGAAGAGAAUGAUAUGAUUAAGGAUUUAGAUACUCAUUUAAUUGGUCAUCCAAGACGCCUAGCUUUUUUUUCUUACAAUGUCGAUAACAACUCUUAUGUGGAAAGAACAUGCGAAAACAUUUAUCAUGAGUUGCAGCUAGGUGCUUUGCCGAAUUUUCAAACUGAAUCAAAUCCACUCUUUGUUGAUGACUUCAAAGGGUUUAGUACUUCAUUGAGAUUGAUUCAAGCUAAAAUCUUCACGGUGGGGGUAGAUUUGGUGGUACCCAGGGCCCCUUUUUUGAAUAGCGAUGGACAUAUUGUAGGAUUAUAUAGCCUUACACAUUAUGAAGAAGAUUAUGCUAUUCAUGUUGCUGAAAUUCAGAAAGCAUUGAUGUUUGUAAGGCAUUAAUCUUGGACAAGUAGUAGUAAAUAUUCUAGUUAGCUUCGCAAAGUAGCAUAAAUAGGAUCAGAGUGGUAUGUGUAAGAAAAUCCGUAUUCGAUCAUUUGUAACACUUUAACUUUAAUCUAUCAAAUAAUUUGUUUUCUAUUGUUGUGUUUUCUUGCUUUGUUGAGAUGUUAGUCUAACCUUAAGGGUGUAGUACGUUGCAUCCCCUGUUUUUUUAACAUCUUUUCCUGGUCAAUUCUUUACUGUGGUUCGUUAUGAAGUUUGGUGUGUAGUUCACAGCUUCUGUUUAUGACGCUUCUUUUGUAGUAGAAUCAUAUUAACUGGAUGGGUAAUAUAUUUUAUAAAAUAUGUCCAAGUUGCUGUAUUUUUUUGGCUCGUUUCCAUAUUUUUGUUUGCUAACCUUUGUCAUUGUUAUUGUUGUAAUAUUCUUGACAGACAUCAUGUUUCUUGGAGCUCUUGUGAAACUAAUUUCUUACCUAUUGCCAUGAAUUGUUGGAAGUUUAGGACUCACCUCUUUAAACUUAAUGUACUGUUUUGACAUUUGCAAAGACGUGGGACACAAGUUGAGCCCCUCUAGCAUCUAUUAUACUAGCAUCUCUGAAGUUCAUCUAUAUUUAUGUUUUCUUAUGUAGGAUCUUCUCUCUACUGGGAUUUCAUGGCAUUCAUGUCUUUGCUUUUAUUUUUGUUUGGUAUUAUUUUUGCUGUCACGAUAGCUAUUAUGUUACCUGGAUAAGACUUGCGGAUCAUGCUUUGUUUUUUUUUUGUCAACUAUAAUGUUUCACCUUCAUACAUUUUCUUAAUAUCCUAAUUUUUUUCAAGUUAUUACCACAGGUUCUUCAUUGUGAUGGAAGUUUUCUUGUUUACCAUGCUGCUCACUGCUAGUAUGUUCUGAGCCUCUCAUGCCCUAUCAGGUAGCUUUUCUUGCAGGAUGGAAAAGGCUCCUAAGGGGGGAGUUUUUUUAUUACUUGACAUUUGUAAAUCUACCCAAGCCAUUGAUUUUAUCACAUGCCAUUAUUCCUCCCCCUAAGAUGACAUUGGUAUUGUUAUUAUUGAGAUGUUAUUGGCAUGUCAAAUUGUAAUUUCUUUUGGUAGUAUGCUUGGAUUCUACAAGGUAAAAUGUUGUUGCUUUUUGGAUGAUCCAUCAAUUGUGUGACUUUAUAAAUUCUACAUUUCUUGAUUGAUUAUUAGUCCGAUUCUAUGCCACUCUAGAUGUUCUACGAUAGCUUAGAUUACGGCAAAUUCAUAUCAAUUUUCAUGAUUUGCGAAAAUCGUAAAUCUUAGGAGCGUUUCAGGUAUUUCGCAUAUUAAAUGUUGGAGGCAAUUGUAAAUUCACCCCAAUGACAUGUCAAAAAUUCCAAGACUCAGGUAACAAUACGUUCCAGGUUAGUAGACGUCGUUAAACUGGACCUAACAUAGAUUCACCUCCUUUGAACAAUGGUUAGGAUUUGGAAACAAUCAGUUGUAAACUACCUUUUCUCUCUCCGUAGUCUAUUGCUGAACGAACCGACGAUUUCCACUUGGUAUAAAGAACAUGCUUUUAGAUAUGAAUUAUUGUUGGUUAUGUUGAUUAUCAAUUUCUUGAUUAUUUGUGUUAAUUACAAGUUCAAGAAAUUUAUUUAUGCAGAAUUGGCAAGAUUGAUUUGGGUAAAAGGAGCCGUGCAAUGAUUGAUGAAAAUGCUGAAGGCUAUGACAAAAAUCAAUCCACUUUCAACUUGACUGACUAAAUUUGGACCCAAAUGCUUGGGAGAUAUAUCCUCGAGUGAAGGCCUAGACAUGGACAAAAUUGAUUAUUCAGGAAAGCUUGGUCGAACUAAUUCCGGUGAUUAUGGUAAACUAGGGUUGAUAGAUGUGGCAUACGGCGAGAGACACCCUAAGGUUUCAAGGGACACAUCUGGUCCCCCUCAAUGUCCGAUGAUGUUGCAGACCUUGUACGAAUUAGAAGUAGAGGUCGGCGUAAACGGACAAACUUAUUUGCCUUACGGUAGGGGUUCAAAGCAUGUUAUUGAUGAUAUUUCCACCCUGCAAACAAACAAGGAAUCGAUCAGUGGUUAUGGUAGGAAUGCGGAUAAUUGACUACAUUGAUGCGUUACAAUGAAUGUUGUGCUCUAAACGUGACGAUGUGUACUUUAUGAGUAACUACUCGGUACUACGAAAUAAAUUUAAUUGAUAGUAUGUAUGUUUUGUAUGAAUUUUUGAAUGCAAUUUUAAUGGACUUUUCCUUUUGUUUUUAUAUUCAAUUUUUAAGCAGGCCUAUAACAUAAAGUAGUUCUGUUUUUAAACAUUCAGGCCCUGACACAUGAUGAUAGUGGUUUGGCCCAAUUCAGAAGU